GAUGAACGCUGGCGGCGUGCCUAAUACAUGCAAGUCGAGCGAACAGACGAGGAGCUUGCUCCUCUGACGUUAGCGGCGGAUGGGUGAGUAACACGUGGAUAACCUACCUAUAAGACUGGGAUAACUUCGGGAAACCGGAGCUAAUACCGGAUAACAUGUUGAACCGCAUGGUUCAACAGUGAAAGACGGUCUUGCUGUCACUUAUAGAUGGAUCCGCGCCGCAUUAGCUAGUUGGUAAGGUAACGGCUUACCAAGGCAACGAUGCGUAGCCGACCUGAGAGGGUGAUCGGCCACACUGGAACUGAGACACGGUCCAGACUCCUACGGGAGGCAGCAGUAGGGAAUCUUCCGCAAUGGGCGAAAGCCUGACGGAGCAACGCCGCGUGAGUGAUGAAGGUCUUCGGAUCGUAAAACUCUGUUAUUAGGGAAGAACAAAUGUGUAAGUAACUAUGCACGUCUUGACGGUACCUAAUCAGAAAGCCACGGCUAACUACGUG
rnacentral:rRNA from 1 species